AACACAGCAGUUCCACACCA
rnacentral:misc_RNA from 1 species